rnacentral:rRNA from 1 species
UAAUACGGGGGGGGCAAGCGUUGUUCGGAAUUACUGGGCGUAAAGGGCUCGUAGGCGGCCAAUUAAGUCAGACGUGAAAUCCCCAGGCUCAACUUGGGAACUGCGUCUGAUACUGGUUGGCUUGAAUUCGGGAGAGGGAUGCAGAAUUCCAGGUGUAGCGGUGAAAUGCGUAGAUAUCUGGAGGAAUACCGGUGGCGAAGGCGGCAUCCUGGACCGAGAUUGACACUGAUGAGCGAAAGCUAGGGGAGCAAACGGGA